rnacentral:tRNA from 1 species
GCCCCUGUAGCUCAGUUGGUUAGAGCGCUGCUCCGGAAUCGCAGGGCCGUAGGUUCAAUUCCUACCAGAGGAC